AUUGAACGCUGGCGGCAGGCCUAACACAUGCAAGUCGAACGAGUGGCGGACGGGUGAGUAAUGUCUGGGAAACUGCCUGAUGGCGGGGGAUAACUACUGGAAACGGUAGCUAAUACCGCAUACCCUCGGAUGUGCCCAUAUGGGAUUAGCUAGGAGGUGGGGUAAAGGCUCACCAAGGCGACGAUGCCUAGCUGGUCUGAGAGGAUGACCAGCCACACUGGGACGGAGACACGGUCCAGACUCCUACGGGAGGCAGCAGUGGGGAAUAGUGCACAAUGGGCGCAAGCCUGAUGCAGCCAUGCCGCGUGUAUGAAGAAGGCCUUCGGGUUGUAAAGUACGUUCAGCGGGGAGGCGUUACCCGCAGAAGAAGCACCGGCUAACUCCGUGCCAGCCGCCGCGGUAAUUC
rnacentral:rRNA from 1 species